rnacentral:rRNA from 1 species
AAAAAAUAGGGGAUGAGCUGUGGAUCGGAGUGAAAGGCUAAUCAAAACUGGAAAUAGCUGGUUCUCCUCGAAAUGCAUUGAGGUGCAGCCUCAGGUGAAUACCGUCGGCGGUAGAGCACUGACAGGGCUAGGGGCCGCGAGGUUACCAACCCCUUUCAAACUCCGAAUUCCGAUGAGUACUACCUGGGAGUGAGACAGUGGGAGAUAAGUUUCAUUGUCGAGAGGGAAAGAGCCCAGACUGCCGGCUAAGGCCCCUAAGUGUAUGCUAAGUGGUCAAGGAAGUGAGAGAUCACAGACAAUCAGGAGGUUGGCUUAGAAGCAGCCACCCUUUAAAGAAAGCGUAAUAGCUCACUGAUCGAGAUGUCUUGCGCCGUAAAUAUAACGGGGCUAAGCAUGCCGCCGAAGCCGCAGACUCGCAUUAGCGAGUGGUAGAGGAGCGUUCCAGUUGCAGCGAAGAUGCAUCGGCAAGGUGUGUUGGAGCGGCUGGAAGUGAGAAUGCUGACAUGAGUAGCGAUAAAGGAGGUGAAAAUCCUCCUCGCCGGAAGCCCAAGGGUUCCUGUCCAAGGACAAUCCGGGCAGGGUUAGCCGGCCCCUAAGGUGUAGCCGAAGGGCGAAGCCGAUGGGAAGCAGGUGAAUAUUCCUGCGCCGUCGAUGUUGAGUCGAGCAGGGACGGAGAAGGGUAGGUCAGCCGGGCGAUGGAUAUCCCGGUAUGCCUCUGUAGGCUGGAGUUGUAGGAAUAAAACGCGACUCUAAGGCCGAGGGAGGUGUCGAAAGUGAUUGAUCCCAUACUUCCAAGAAAAGCUGCGUACGAUGUUGAAACAUAGACGACCGUACCCCAAACCGACACAGGUGGGCGAGUGGAGAACACUAAGGCGCUUGAGAGAACUCGGGUUAAGGAAUUAGGCAAAUUGACACCGUAACUUAGGGAUAAGGUGUGCCGCUUGUACGUGAACCUCCUUGCGAGGGGAGCAGAAGGCGGUCGCAGCGAAGCGGCGGUAGCGACUGUUUACCAAAAACACAGGUCUCUGCGAAAUCGUAAGAUGAUGUAUAGGGACUGACGCCUGCCCGGUGCUGGAAGGUUAAGAGGAGUUGUUAGGGUAACCGAAGCAGCGAAUCGAAGCCCCAGUAAACGGCGGCCGUAACAAUAACGGUCCUAAGGUAGCGAAAUUCCUUGUCGGGUAAGUUCCGACCUGCACGAANGGCGUAACGACUUCCGCACUGUCUCGACCCGAGACUCAGCGAAAUUGACAUGGGGGUGAAGAUGCCCUCUACCCGCAGAAAGACGGAAAGACCCUGUGAACCUUUACUCUAACUUGGCAGUGACCUUNGGUUCAGCUUGUGUAGGAUAGGUGGGAGGCUUUGAANNCGGGACGCCAGUCUCGGUGGAGCCGACCUUGAAAUACCACCCUAGUUGUUCUGAAUGUCUAACCCGCGCAAGCGGGGACACUGUCUGGUGGGGAGUUUGACUGGGGCGGUCGCCUCCCAAAAUGUAACGGAGGCGCACAAAGGUCCCCUCAGCUUGAUUGGAAACCAAGCGNAGAGUGCAAUGGCAUAAGGGGGCUUGACUGCGAGAGGGACACCUCGAGCAGGUACGAAAGUAGGUCAUAGUGAUCCGGCGGUUCCGAGUGGAAGGGCCGUCGCUCAACGAAUAAAAGGUACUCCGGGGAUAACAGGCUGAUCACGCCCAAGAGUUCACAUCGACGGCGUGGUUUGGCACCUCGAUGUCGGCUCAUCGCAUCCUGGGGCUGGAGCAGGUCCCAAGGGU